UACGAAGGGGGCUAGCGUUGCUCGGAAUCACUGGGCGUAAAGGGCGCGUAGGCGGACGACUAAGUCGGGGGUGAAAUCCUGGGGCUCAACCUCAGAAUUGCCUUCGAUACUGGUUGUCUCGAGACCGGAAGAGGUAAGUGGAACUGCGAGUGUAGAGGUGAAAUUCGUAGAGAUUCGCAAGAACACCAGUGGCGAAGGCGGCUUACUGGUCCGGUGCUGACGAUGAGGCGCGAAAGCGUGGGGAGCAAACAGG
rnacentral:rRNA from 1 species